GACGAACGCUGGCGGCGUGCUUAACACAUGCAAGUCGAACGGAAAGGCCCUGCUUUUGUGGGGUGCUCGAGUGGCGAACGGGUGAGUAACACGUGAGUAACCUGCCCUUGACUUUGGGAUAACUUCAGGAAACUGGGGCUAAUACCGGAUAGGAGCUCCUGCUGCAUGGUGGGGGUUGGAAAGUUUCGGCGGUUGGGGAUGGACUCGCGGCUUAUCAGCUUGUUGGUGGGGUAGUGGCUUACCAAGGCUUUGACGGGUAGCCGGCCUGAGAGGGUGACCGGCCAAAUUGGGACUGAGAUACGGCCCAGACUCCUACGGGAGGGAGCAGUGGGGAGUAUUGCACAAUGGGCGGAAGCCUGAUGCGGCAAAGCAGCGUGGGGGAUGACGGCCAGCGGGUUGUAAACCGCUUUCGCCUGUGACGAGGCGUGAGUGACGGUAAUGGGUAAAGAAGCACCGGCUAACUACGUG
rnacentral:rRNA from 1 species